GUAACGGCGAGUGAAGCGGCAACAGCUCAAAUUUGAAAUCUGGCCCUUUCGGGGUCCGAGUUGUAAUUUGUAGAGAGUGUUUCGGGCGAGACCACGGUCUAAGUCCAUUGGAACAUGGCGUCAUAGAGGGUGAGAAUCCCGUAUGCGACCGUGGCUCGAGCCCAUGUGAAGCCUCUUCGACGAGUCGAGUUGUUUGGGAAUGCAGCUCAAAAUGGGUGGUAAAUUUCAUCUAAAGCUAAAUACUGGCUGGAGACCGAUAGCGCACAAGUAGAGUGAUCGAAAGAUGAAAAGCACUUUGGAAAGAGAGUUAAACAGUACGUGAAAUUGUUGAAAGGGAAGCGCUUGCAACCAGACCUGUCCGUAGGUGAUCAGCCGCUGUUCUCAGCGGUGCACUCGCUCUGCGAUCAGGCUAGCAUCGGUUUCGGCGACCGGAUAAAGGCCUUGGGAAUGUAGCUUCCUUUUGGGGGAGUCUUAUAGCCUUCGGUGCAAUGCGGCCAGCCGGGACCGAGGACCGCGCUUCGGCUAGGAUGCUGGCGUAAUGGUUGUAA
rnacentral:rRNA from 1 species